UACGUAGGGUGCGAGCGUUUGUCCGGAAUUAUUGGGCGUAAAGAGCUCGUAGGCGGUGUGUCACGUCGGCCGUGAAAACCUGCAGCUUAACUGUGGGCGUGCGGUCGAUACGGGCAUCACUGGAGUUCGGCAGGGGGAGACUGGAAUUCCUGGUGUAGCAGUGAAAUGCGUAGAUAUCAGGAGGAAUACCGAUGGCGAAGGCAGGUCUCUGGGACGGUACUGACGCUGAGACGCGAAAGCGUGGGGGAGCGAACAGG
rnacentral:rRNA from 1 species